UGGGGAAUAUUGGACAAUGGGCGAAAGCCUGAUCCAGCCAUGCCGCGUGUGUGAAGAAGGUCUUCGGAUUGUAAAGCACUUUAAGUUGGGAGGAAGGGCAUUAACCUAAUACGUUAGUGUUUUGACGUUACCGACAGAAUAAGCACCGGCUAACUCUGUGCCAGCAGCCGCGGUAAUACAGAGGGUGCAAGCGUUAAUCGGAAUUACUGGGCGUAAAGCGCGCGUAGGUGGUUUGUUAAGUUGGAUGUGAAAUCCCCGGGCUCAACCUGGGAACUGUAUUAAAAACUGACUGACUAGAGUAUGGUAGAGGGUGGUGGAAUUUCCUGUGUAGCGGUGAAAUGCGUAGAUAUAGGAAGGAACACCAGUGGCGAAGGCGACCACCUGGACUAAUACUGACACUGCGGUGCGAAAGCGUGGGGAGCAAACA
rnacentral:rRNA from 1 species